AAGCUGUCGCGAGGGAGCCUGCGCCGGCGGAGAGGCUCAGGCCCCGCACGAUCCGGGCAGCGCGCAGCCGCUGCCGCGCAUGCGCGCUCCACGCCUGCCCCGCCCCGCCCCCACGCCUCCCCGGCCGCGGGGAAAGUACCUGGAUAAUGUAAACCGGGACUGAUGCCUGCGCCUGGCCCCCCGCGGGUUUUGUGCCAAAUAAACCGCUGUUACACCAGGAGAGGCAACGUCUCCUGGAGGUUGGAGACGACAGCUUGUUAAGUAAACGUUAUACAGCUUA